GACAAAAGCAACUCAGCACUGGAUGACACGACCACCUUUUGGGGCAUGGAGGUCAGCGUAGAGGUGAUCACCCUGGGACAACAACCCCUCCCUUGCCAAAUGGUAGAUUGAUGAAAUGUCUGAAAAGCAUCUCUGAUCGUGAGGAUCCAGAGACUAAUCAUGAGGGCCCAGUGACGUCAGAGCUGGAGAGGAGAUACUUUCAGAUGAACCAAUUAUCUGGCUUCAAGAUAUUUCAGAUGACUGAGAUACAACCUUUUUGAACAGGGUAAGGUCACCAGCAUUCUUUCCAAUUACUCCAGCCUUCUCCUUUGAAAACUUAUUAUAAAACUGAACUGAAAAGAUCAUUAUGUAGCACAAGUAGGAAAGUCAUUGCUUGGGUAGGAAAAUAUGUCAAAUGGAGUUUAAUUUCCAUGACAUUUGAAGUUAUUGGAAAAUUCAGAAAUUAUUUUGGGUGAAUCUUCAUUAAUUAUGAAAUGCAAUUUACUCCUGAUUUUGCUUUGGCAUCUGGCUUUUGACUUGUUAACAUUAUAUCUAUUUGACAAAUAAAGAAAAAGAAGAAGAAUGCA
rnacentral:lncRNA from 1 species